UGUUGACAUUAUAGUUGUGCAGGCACUUUGUUGACUGUAGAGAACCUCUGGCCAAUUGCACAUCCCUGUGACGGUGACUUUGCAUGUCAUCCAUAUCAACUUUCGAUGCCAGUUUCUGCACCUACCAUGGUGACCACGGGUAACGGGGAAUCAGGGUUCCAUUCUGUACAGAGACCCUGAGAAACGGCUACCACAUGCAAGUAAGGCAGCAGGUGUGCAAAUGACCCACUCCCGGGAAGGUAGUGAUAACA